rnacentral:rRNA from 1 species
AGUGAACGCUGGCGGCGUGCUUAACACAUGCAAGUCGAACGAGAACGGGUUAUAGCUUGCUAUAAUUGUCAGCUAAGUGGCGCACGGGUGAGCAAUGUAUAGGUAAUAUGCCUCUUACUAAGGGAUAACAAAUGGAAACGUUUGCUAAUACCUUAUACUCCUUAUUAACAGAAGUUAGUAAGGGAAAGAUUUAUUGGUAAGAGAUUAGCCUGUAUUGUAUCAGUUAGUUGGUGGGGUAAUGGCUUACCAAGACUAUGACACAUAACUGGUUUGAGAGGAUGAUCAGUCACACUGGAACUGAGACACGGUCCAGACUCCUACGGGAGGCAGCAGUGGGGAAUAUUGCACAAUGGACGAAAGUCUGAUGCAGCAACGCCGCGUGGAGGAUGACACAUUUCGGUGCGUAAACUCCUUUUAUAUGAGAAGAUAAUGACGGUAUUAUAUGAAUAAGCACCGGCUAACUCCGUGCCAGCAGCCGCCGUAA